UACAGAGGGUGCGAGCGUUGUCCGGAAUCACUGGGCGUAAAGGGCGCGUAGGUGGCGCAACAAGUCAGUGGUGAAAGCUCGACGCUCAACGUCGAGUCGGCCACUGAGACUGUUGGGCUUGAGCACUGUAGAGGCUAAUGGAAUUCCGGGUGUAGCGGUGGAAUGCGUAGAGAUCCGGAAGAACACCGGUGGCGAAGGCGGUUAGCUGGGCAGUUGCUGACACUGAGGCGCGGACAGCGUGGGGAGCAAACAGGG
rnacentral:rRNA from 1 species